rnacentral:lncRNA from 1 species
GAUAUCGCCCAGGUAGCAGCUACGUGUUGACUCAUAUUUGAUACAGGUUUCCCGGUUGUGCUUCCUUUUUUCUUACGAAAACACAAUUGUUCUAUUUAUUUUCACUUCUCUCAACUAGGCUUGUAUUAUAAUUUAAAAAGAUUUUCUCGCUUUUCAUCUCUUAUAGUUCAAAUCUCUAAAGCGACUUACCACAUAAGGGAG